rnacentral:rRNA from 1 species
GUGGGGAAUAUUGGACAAUGGGCGAAAGCCUGAUCCAGCCAUGCCGCGUGUGUGAAGAAGGUCUUCGGAUUGUAAAGCACUUUAAGUUGGGAGGAAGGGUAGUAACCUAAUACGUUGCUACUUUGACGUUACCGACAGAAUAAGCACCGGCUAACUUCGUGCCAGCAGCCGCGGUAAUACGAAGGGUGCAAGCGUUAAUCGGAAUUACUGGGCGUAAAGCGCGCGUAGGGUGUUCAGUAAGUUGGAAGUGAAAUCCCCGGGCUCAACCUGGGAACUGCCUCCAAAACUGCAUGACUAGAGUACGGUAGAGGGUAGUGGAAUUUCCUGUGUAGCGGUGAAAUGCGUAGAUAUAGGAAGGAACACCAGUGGCGAAGGCGACUACCUGGACUGAUACUGACACUGAGGUGCGAAAGCGUGGGGAGCAAACAGGAUUAGAAACCCGGGUAGUCC